CCUACGUGUGGCAGCAGUGGGGAAUAUUGCACAAUGGGGGAAACCCUGAUGCAGCGACGCCGCGUGAGUGAAGAAGUAAUUCGUUACGUAAAGCCCUAUCAGCAGGGAAGAAACACUGACCUUACGGUCAGCAGACGGUACCUGAGUAAGGAGCCCCGGCCAACUACGGGCCAGCAGCCGCGGUCAUUCGGAGGGGGCAAGCGUUAUCCGGAUUUACUGGGUGUAAGGGGAGCGUAGACGGUGCGGCAAGUCUGGAGUGAAAUGCCGCAGCUGAACUGCGGAACUGCUUUGGAAACUGGCGAGCUAGAGUGCGGGAGGGGUAAGCGGAAUUCCUAGUGUAGCGGUGAAAUGCGUAGAUAUUAGGAGGAACACCGGUGGCGAAGGCGGCUUACUGGACCGUAACUGACGUUGAGGCUCGAAAGCGUGGGGAGCAAACAGGAUUAGAUACCCUGGUAGUC
rnacentral:rRNA from 1 species